rnacentral:rRNA from 1 species
AAUGAACGUUGGCGGCGUGGAUUAGGCAUGCAAGUCGAGCGAGAACCGUAGCAAUACGGGGACAGCGGCGAAAGGGACAGUAAUGUGUAGGUACCUACCCCCGGGUUCGGGAUAGCUGCGGGAAACUGCAGGUAAUACCGAAUAAUGUCUUCGGACCACAGGUGUGAUUCCACCCGGGGAGGGGCCUGCAUCCUAUUAGCUGGUUGGUGGGGUAACGGCUUACCAAGGCGACGAUGGGUAGCGGGUGUGAGAGCAUGACCCGCGUCAUUGGGACUGAGACACUGCCCAGACACCUACGGGUGGCUGCAGUCGAGGAUCUUCGGCAAUGGGCGCAAGCCUGACCGAGCGACGCCGCGUGCGGGAUGAAGGCCUUCGGGUUGUAAACCGCUGUCGUAGAGGAGGAAAUGCAGGAGGGUUCUCCCUUCUGUUUGACCUAUUCUAGGAGGAAGUACGGGCUAAGUUCGUGCCAGCCGCCGCCGUAA